GUCUAUGGCCAUGCCACCCUGAACAAGCCCGAUCCCCUCUGAUCUUGGAAGCUAAGCAGGGUCAGGCCUGGUUAGUACUUGGAUAGGAGACCACCUAGGAAGACCAGAUGCUGUACAUG
rnacentral:rRNA from 1 species